UUUGCUUAAUAUAUGUCUCAGCAUUUUCCUCAGCACUUCCAGCCAGCCAACCGGCACAAGCACAGAAAGAAAAUCCGCCGCUGAUUACCACAAAAGGCUUUGAGACCUUUACUUCAACCUGGACGGGCGGGGGAGAAACGGGCAAGCGGCUCCGCGGAGCAACACUGCCCCCUGCAGACCACAGAAACCAAAAUGCCAGCAAGCCCGGAAGAAAAUCGAUCCUUCCCGCUGGGUUUUCGGGCAAAGGACUUAUGGGGAAUGCCCUUGAGGACCAAAGAAAGAAAGGGAACAUCUCGAAGGGGCCCGGGCCAACCGCCCCUGGACCGCGCGAGUUCCGCUCGACCCGCCCACAGAACCACAGCGAGGCGGGCAAGAAGUCAGGACGUCCAGGAAGAUCCGGAGUUGCUGAGGGCUGGUUCUGGGCCUGCCCUGGGGAGCAUUGAGGAAUUCCUCAACGAUGGGAAGCAAGACAAGGGUAACCACUCCUUCCACUACAUUCACUAUGUCAGCUUAUAUUAUGUUGUUGGAUUUUUAAGUGUCAGUGCGUCCGGCGAAAGUUCUCACAACGGGCUCUCUGAAGGGCUCAGACGCAGUCUGAAUCAGCCAACCGGCACAAGCGGAGGAAAACAAAAUAAAACCAAACCAGCUGUUUCUUGUGGCCAAAAGCUUCCUGUUAUUUUAUUAAAGCGCGAGGGCGGAGGAAAAAACCGGCCCGGCGACACUGUGGAGCAACACUGCCACCUGCAGGCUACAGAAACCAAAACGCCGCAAGCCCGGAAGAAAAUUCAUCGUUUCUGCUGGGUUUUCCCGCAGAGGACUGGACAGCGUGGACGCGAAAGUUAAGGGGGAUGCCCGUAAGGACCAGAGAAAGGAAGAGAAUCUCUCGACGGGGUCCGGCCAAACCACCCCUGGACAGCGAGCAGUCCGCGGAACCAUAGCAACACGGGCAGGAAGUUAGGGUGUCCGGGAAGAUCCGGAGCUUGGUGGGCGGGGCUGCACUCCGAUUGGCUGGCUCUGGGCAUGCGCGCAGCCACCCAGUGAGGCCCGUGCCAGUCUCUUGGCCCUGGUCGGCUGGGAGUUUUGUCUGGGAACUUGUUUGGAACUCUCCACUGAAGAACCUGACCGGUCGUGACGUCCGGGUCCUGUCGCCCACUGCCGAAGCCCCCCACGUGCGGGGACGUUACAAGUCCCCUGUCCAUUCUCCUCCCUCCCACCCCCGGCCUGUGAACGCGUUCCUCCCGUGGUACACUCGCUGUUCUCUCAGGCCUCACUCUUCUGAUCCCUCCUCAGUGCCCACGAGGCACACCCGGUCACCCCGGGAGACUUUUUGUCCUUAGCGAUGUUCCCUUCCUCCCUACCCGAGCAUCCCUCUGCCCACCGUCCCGCCCCGGGCAUCAAGAAAGACCGCGCCCCUCAUGCUGUCCUGUUUCCAGCCUUCCUCCCUGGCAUCACCCUCAACAUGACGUCCUGUCCUCCAGCUCCUUCGCACUACUGCCAGUGCACUGAUACCACAACCUCCUGGACACCUCCAGCUCACCGGCCACGCGUCCUUUCCCAGCAUGCACCAGGCCCCUCCUGGAUCGGCUGAGCCAGGGCUGGAAGCUUUCCCCCGCAAACACACCUCUCCCCGACAAACACACCUGUUGGGCUCCUUGCACCCUCCUGCCUGCCCACUCCCUGCCUGUGUCUGAGUACCUGAGCAUCGAGGAGAAAACUUUACAGAAGUGUUUUAUCUUGAAUCCAUGGCGGGAGUAGACCGCUGUUCAGUUUCAUGGUCACCUAGCUACACUCCUAGACUACACACUAGUAACCUUCUUCCAUGCUAAUGACCACCAGCCCCACCCACUAAUAAUUCGUGGAGAAUACCGAAGCAACCCCGUGCGAUUUCUCAAGUUUCCCAGUCCCGAUCUGCAUGCUUUUGCCCUGGCACUCUGCUGCCCCGCUCCACGCCUGCUCCUGACUGCACCCAGCCCCUCACCUCUGCCCAGGAUCCCAUGCCUUGAACCUUCUCAGGGACUUUGCACCUGCAGUUAUCAUUCCUCUCUCCUGAACCAGCACUUGCUCCCUCUUCAUCCCAGCAUUCCACAGCACAGGGGGAAACCCACCGUCUUCCACCCUAUUCUGCAGCUCCUGGCACAUUACCGAUUGCCCUUCAAAGCAAAACUGCUUCAAAUUCUGCUGAGAUAUUGUCUCCUCAGCCCCCUUCCGUGGAGCUUUUGUCCCAGUCACUCCGCUGUAACUGGUCUCGUCAUGGCCAUCAUUAAUAUCCAUACUUCCUGAUCCCAC
ensembl:lncRNA